UUUCGCAAUGCCCGAAAGGGUGACGAAGCGACGCCGCGUGCGGGAAGAAGGCCUUCGGGUUGUAAACCGCUGUCGGGAGUUAAGAAAUGUAAGGAUGUUAAUAGCAUCUUUGCUUGACUAAGGCUCCGGAGGAAGCCACGGCUAACUCUGUGCCAGCAGCCGCGGUAAUACAGAGGCGGCAAGCGUUGUUCGGAAUUAUUGGGCGUAAAGAGCACGUAGGCGGCUAUGUAAGUCGGUUGUGAAAGCCUUCCGCUCAACGGGAGAACAGCAUCCGAUACUGCAUGGCUUGAGUGCGGGAGGGGAGAGUGGAACUUCUGGUGGAGCGGUGAAAUGCGUAGAUAUCAGAAGGAACGCCGGCGGCGAAAGCGGCUCUCUGGCCCAUAACUGACGCUGAGUGUGCGAAAGCUAGGGGAGCAAACGGGAUUAGAUACCCCGGUAGUCCUUGCCGUAAACGAUGGGCACUAAGUAGAGGGGUUUUA
rnacentral:rRNA from 1 species